rnacentral:tRNA from 1 species
GUCACUUUGGCCGAGUGGUUAAGGUGUGUACCUGCUAAGUACAUGGGGUUUCCCCGCGAGAGUUGAAAUCUCUUAGGCAACG